AACCCCGGGAAACUGGGGAUAAUUCCGGAUAACGCACAUAUGCUGGAAUGCUUUAUGCGUAAAAUGGAUUCGUCUGCCCAAGGAUGGGUCUGCGGCCUAUCAGGUAGUAGUGGGUGUAAUGUACCUACUAGCCUACGACGGGUACGGGUUGUGAGAGCAAGAGCCCGGAGAUGGAUUCUGAGACAUGAAUCCAGGCCCUACGGGGCGCAGCAGGCGCGAAAACUUUACAAUGCGGGAAACCGUGAUAAGGGGACACCGAGUGCCAGCAUCCUAUGCUGGCUGUCCGGGUGUGUAAAAUACACCUGUUAGCAAGGGCCGGGCAAGACCGGUGCCAGCCGCCGCGGUAACACCGGCGGCCCGAGUGGUGAUCGUGAUUAUUGGGUCUAAAGGGUCCGUAGCCGGUUUGGUCAGUCCUCCGGGAAAUCUGACAGCUUAACUGUUAGGCUUUCGGAGGAUACUGCCAGACUUGGAACCGGGAGAGGUAAGAGGUACUACAGGGGUAGGAGUGAAAUCUUGUAAUCCCUGUGGGACCACCUGUGGCGAGGGCGUCUUACCAGAACGGGUUCGACGGUGAGGGACGAAAGCUGGGGGCACGAACCGGAUUAGAUACCCGGGUAGUCCCAGCCGUAAACGAUGCUCGCUAGGUGUCAGGCAUGGCGCGACCGUGUCUGGUGCCGCAGGGAAGCCGUGAAGCGAGCCACCUGGGAAGUACGGCCGCAAGGCUGAAACUUAA
rnacentral:rRNA from 1 species